rnacentral:rRNA from 1 species
AUUGAACGCUGGCGGCAUGCUUUACACAUGCAAGUCGAACGGUAACAGGCCUUCGGGUGCUGACGAGUGGCGAACGGGUGAGUAAUGCAUCGGAACGUACCCAGAGGUGGGGAUAACGGAACGAAAGCUUUGCUAAUUACGCAUGGUAUCUGAGGGUGGAAGCGGGGGACCGGGCCACCAUUUUUUGCCUCGCCCCUUUUGAGCGGCCGAUGUCGGAUUAGCUAGUUGGUGGGGUAAAGGCCUACCAAGGCGACGAUCCGUAGCUGGUCUGAGAGGACGACCAGCCACACUGGGACUGAGACACGGCCCAGACUCCUACGGGAGGCAGCAGUGGGGAAUUUUGGACAAUGGGCGCAAGCCUGAUCCAGCAAUGCCGCGUGCGGGAAGAAGGCCUUCGGGUUGUAAACCGCUUUUGGCAGGAACGAAACGGUGUCCGCUAAUACCGGGCGCUAAUGACGGUACCUGCAGAAUAAGCACCGGCUAACUACGUG